CAAUAGCGUAUAUUAAAAUGGUUGCGGUUAAAAGCUCGUAGUUGGACUUCUGCCGAGGACGACCGGUCCGCCCUCUGGGCGUGCAUCUGGCUUGGCCUUGGCAUCCUCUUGGAGAGCGUGUCUGCACUGGACUGUGUGGUACGGUAUCCAGGACUUUUACUUUUAGGAAAUUAGAAUGUUUCAAGCAGGCGUUCGCCUUGAAUACAUUAGCAUGGAAUAGUAAGAUAGGACCUCGGUUCUAUUUUGUUGGUUUCGAGAGCUGAGGUAGGGAUAGUUGGGGGCAUUCGUAUUUAACUGUCAGAGGUUAAACUCUUGGAAUUGUUCAAGACGGACUUCUGCGAAAGCAUUUGCCAAGGAUGUUUUUCCAUUGAUCAAGAACGAAGUUAGGGGAUCGAAGAUGAUCAGAUACCGU
rnacentral:rRNA from 1 species